AACGAACGCUGGCGGCAUGCCUAACACAUGCAAGUCGAACGAGACCUUCGGGUCUAGUGGCGCACGGGUGCGUAACGCGUGGGAACCUGCCCUUAGGUUCGGAAUAACUCCCCGAAAGGGGUGCUAAUACCGGAUAAUGUCUUCGGACCAAAGAUUUAUCGCCUUUGGAUGGGCCCGCGUUGGUUUAGCUAGUUGGUAGGGUAAAAGCCUACCAAGGCGACGAUCCAUAGCUGGUCUGAGAGGAUGAUCAGCCACACUGGGACUGAGACACGGCCCAGACUACUACGGGAGGCAGCAGUGGGGGAUAUUGGACAAUGGGCGAAAGCAUGAUCCAGCAAUGCCGCGUGAGUGAUGAAGGCCUUAGGGUUGUAAAGCUCUUUUACCCGGGAUGAUAAUGACAGUACCGGGAGAAUAAGCUCCGGCUAACUCCGUG
rnacentral:rRNA from 1 species